rnacentral:lncRNA from 1 species
GCCAUCUAUUUUCUCCCUCAGUCUUAGCCACUGGGAGAAGAAUUUAAUACUUUUUUUUUUUUUUCACCGACUCUGGGCCCGUUGGUGCUGGGCCCGUUGGUGUGAAUUCCUGUGACUGGACCUCCAUGCAGUGCUUGCUUUCUAGGAGUGCUAGAUACACGUGAACAAAUGAUGCCACCGAUUUCACAAGCUCCGUCUAAAGCCCAGUC